GUCUUCGUGGAGUAAUGCAACUCACUCCCACCUGUUGGAUGCGCUUGAUGGGGGAGUCGGUGGUUCGAACCCACCCGAAGACA